CACUCUUCUCUCUGGUGGCGCAACGGUAUGAACAAAGGAGGGUCACAUUGCUCGGCUCGUCCCUUUCUCCAAACUGUUACUGGGAGGAGUCAGAAGAUAAAUGGAGCACAUCUAUUGAGUAAGGCCAGAAAACUACUCAGAAAAGUGAACAUCGAUUAUAAGACUCUUUAUGCUGAUAAUGAACAGAACUGAAUGCUUCCAAAAAAGUCUUCACGAUGGAAGGACAGCAAACAGUGAACAACUGAAACUAGAACUGCGUUACUUCUGCUUGCCCACCCUGUACAUUUCAUCAGCCUAGAGAUGAAGGUGAGCAGCACCCUGAUCUCAGAGAGCAGCUGGAGAAGGAUACUGCCUGCCAAGUACAUUGUGGCAAAAUUGAGUUGAACUACAAACAAUGGGGACAUGCAAAUGCCCUUUUAUACUCUUUAAGACUCCUUGAGAUGGC
rnacentral:lncRNA from 1 species